GAUGAACGCUGGCGGCGUGCCUAACACAUGCAAGUCGAACGGACUUACAUUGAAGCCUAGCGAUAUGUAAGUUAGUGGCGGACGGGUGAGUAACGCGUGGGUAACCUGCCUUGUACUGGGGGACAACAGUUGGAAACGACUGCUAAUACCGCAUAAGCGCACAGCUUCGCAUGAAGCAGUGUGAAAAACUCCGGUGGUACAAGAUGGACCCGCGUCUGAUUAGCUGGUUGGUGAGGUAACGGCCCACCAAGGCGACGAUCAGUAGCCGGCCUGAGAGGGUGAACGGCCACAUUGGGACUGAGACACGGCCCAAACUCCUACGGGAGGCAGCAGUGGGGAAUAUUGCACAAUGGGGGAAACCCUGAUGCAGCGACGCCGCGUGAGUGAUGAAGUAUUUCGGUAUGUAAAACUCUAUCAGCAGGGAAGAUAAUGACGGUACCUGACUAAGAAGCACCGGCUAAAUACGUGCCAGCAGCCG
rnacentral:rRNA from 1 species